GAUGAACGCUGGCGGCGUGCCUAAUACAUGCAAGUCGAGCGAACGGACGAGAAGCUUGCUUCUCUGAUGUUAGCGGCGGACGGGUGAGUAACACGUGGAUAACCUACCUAUAAGACUGGGAUAACUUCGGGAAACCGGAUCUAAUACCGGAUAAUAUUUUGAACCGCAUGGUUCAAAAGUGAAAGACGGUCUUGCUGUCACUUAUAGAUGGAUCCGCGCUGCAUUAGCUAGUUGGUAAGGUAACGGCUUACCAAGGCAACGAUGCAUAGCCGAACUGAGAGGGUGAUCGGCCACACUGGAACUGAGACACGGUCCAGACUCCUACGGGAGGCAGCAGUAGGGAAUAUUCCGCAAUGGGCGAAAGCCUGACGGAGCAACGCCGCGUGAGUGAUGAAGGUCUUCGGAUCGUAAAACUCUGUUAUUAGGGAAGAACAUAUGUGUAAGUAACUGUGCACAUCUUGACGGUACCUAAUCAGAAAGCCACGGCUAACUACGUG
rnacentral:rRNA from 1 species